AUGAACGCCGGUGCUUGUUCCUGGCGACUUCAAGCAUCUCCAUCCAUUCCCUUGUACCAGGGACUUCCCCUCCUCACCAUGGAUCCAUUCAGAGAAGAAAGACCGCGAUCCGUUGACCACACACGAAGAAUUCCGCAUGUUCGUCUACACUGUUCGUCAAGUUCAUCGCACCGCUGCGUCAAACUCGGGAGUGACGACGGUGUUGGACAUGGACAGAAACAGGUUACCGAAGAAGGACUCAACUACGAAGAGUUCCAUGAAGACGAUGGUGAUGACUAUGACAACUAUGGCGAUCCGUAG
rnacentral:rRNA from 1 species